GACGAACGCUGGCGGCGUGCUUAACACAUGCAAGUCGAACGGAAAGGCCCUGCUUUUGUGGGGUGCUCGAGUGGCGAACGGGUGAGUAACACGUGAGUAACCUGCCCUUGACUUUGGGAUAACUUCAGGAAACUGGGGCUAAUACCGGAUAGGAGCUCCUGCUGCAUGGUGGGGGUUGGAAAGUUUCGGCGGUUGGGGAUGGACUCGCGGCUUAUCAGCUUGUUGGUGGGGUAGUGGCUUACCAAGGCUUUGACGGGUAGCCGGCCUGAGAGGGUGACCGGCCACAGUGGGAGAGAGAUACGGCACAGACUCCUACGGGAGGCAGGAGUGGGGAAUAGUGCACAAGGGGCGGGAGCCUGAUGCAGCAGCGCCGCGUGCGAGAUGGCGGCCUUCGGGUUGUAAACCGCUUUCGCCUGUGACGAAGCGUGAGUGACGGUAAUGGGUAAAGAAGCACCGGCUAACUACG
rnacentral:rRNA from 1 species